rnacentral:rRNA from 1 species
AUUGAACGCUGGCGGCAUGCUUUACACAUGCAAGUCGAACGAGUGGCGGACGGGUGAGUAAUCUCUCGGAACGUGCCCAGUGGCGGGGGAUAACUACUCGAAAGAGUGGCUAAUACCGCAUACUAUUGGAUCUGCCGAUAUGGGAUUAGCUAGUGGGUGGGGUAACGGCUCACCAAGGCGACGAUCCCUAGCUGGUCUGAGAGGAUGACCAGCCACACUGGAACUGAGACACGGUCCAGACUCCUACGGGAGGCAGCAGUGGGGAAUAUUGCACAAUGGGCGCAAGCCUGAUGCAGCCAUGCCGCGUGUAUGAAGAAGGCCUUCGGGUUGUAAAGUACUUUCAGCGAGGAGGCGUUACUCGCAGAAGAAGCACCGGCUAACUCCGUGCCAGCAGCCGCGGUAAUUC